GAGUCUGCUGACAUCCACACUGCCAGAGGAAAGCCACCCUUGCCCUGGCAGUUUGAUAAAUCCGCCCUAGGACCUGGCUGUAAAAUUGAAGCAUUUCUUCCUGAAGCACCAAAGCAAAAAAUCGAAAAGAAGCCAGGAAGCUCAGCACAGAGCGCAUCAGACUGGAACCGUUCAGCCAAUGGAGGCUGCCCUCCUUUCUGGAGAUGUGGGGGCAAAUCUGCAUUUGUCAGAUGCAAACUGGAUUUCCUGCUCUCCACUUCACACACGCACUUCCAAAAGCCUCAUUUUCCAACAAAUUUACUGCUAUCUGGAACCAUCCCAGCUCUUCCUUUGCUGCUUCUGCCCCGAUGAGAUUUACCCAGUGGAAAGGCAUAGCCUGUUGUCCUCAAGGCACAGUGGCAGCAGACCUGUAACGACAGGAGUGUGAUAAAUAGAGAAUAAUGUGUCCUGCUAGACAGAAUAAUAAGAUUACAUCCGAGCUGCCAUAUCAUAUCAAUUAAACCCUCGGCCCUUUUAGUCCAGCAAAUCCAUGCUGCCGCAGCAAUUGGUACUCUGGGGAGAAGGAGGAGAACGGGACUGACACAUCCUGCCUAAAAUAACCCUGGCUUUCCCAGUGCUGUCUGCUCAGGCAGCAGGCAAGGCUUCCAGGUGCACCAUGGCUCUGAGCACUGCCAGCCAUGGGGUUCUUACCCCCAAAUGAGAGAGGUAGGGUGGGGUACCCCGUGCCGGCUGCCUUGCAGGUCACAGAGUUGCAGGAGCCAUAUGUACCUGCAGGGUGGGAGGCACUACCUUCUGCCUGGACUGCCUGGCUCUGCUGAUGGCAAUGUUCAUUUGUCCCAGGUGACAGCAGCAUCCUGAGCACUCUUUUUCUGACAACAUAAAGUGCACAUCAUGGGCUUGCCUGGCCCACUCUCCUCUGUGAUACAGCUCUUUCCUGUGGAAGAUGUAGCAUCUCCCUUGGGCAAACCUGGCAUUUGAAGAGGUAACAGGCAGAGCAAAGUACUCAACAGAAAAUGUCUCAAUCCCUCAGUCUGCUGCAACACUGUAUGAGGCCAUCAUAUACUCAGAAGUGUGUUUUCGUAGAGCAUCUGUUGGUUUAAUUAGAUGUAUCUUGGCUAUUCAUUCAGUUGGUUAAGCAAUGGUUUUCAGACUGUUGUCAUGAACUAACCAUAUAUAUUCUCUGAGAAAGGGCUUAAAUACAGCCAACUGAAUUUUAUUUAUUUAUUUUAAUAUGGGCAGUAAAAACUUCUGAGAGAUCAGGAAUGAUUGUUUUCCACCUGAUCUGGGCUGGAUGAGCAUGGCUGAACUGCACUGUCUGUUCCCCAGGUAUUUCCCUGGGAACAGGAUGGGACAUAAAUCCUUCCUGCUCUUUUCCCAGCUGCUUUCGACACAUCUCUUACCUAGAAAGGUUGAACAGAUUGUUCCAAAGGCAUAAAAGCCAAGAAAUGCCUGGUUGCUUAUCAAUUUCAGGAGUUUUACUCCUGAACUUGCUGAUAUCUAAGAAGAUUCGAUCUCCAGGUGAUUUUUUACUUGGGAUUCAAGGCUUCUUGGUGCCUCUUUUCCAUGUGAGACCACUGGUGACUCUAGGGUAAGGUGCUGCACCAGACCUCUCUGCAAAAUGAGACAUACCUGCUGUCAGAUCCCCACCAGAUGGAGGGCCUGGGAAGAAGAAGGCAAAAGAAAAAAAUUGCUGUACAACAGAGCUAGUCAAAGCCUCCGGGAAAUGUGGUGGAGUGUCUAUGGACACUUUGAAUGAGUCUGUCGCCUCUGUCAUGCCCAGGCUCCCUGCACUGUGGUAUGCCAUUCAUUUUCUGUGCUUUGCCCAUUAGUGUGGGCACCUGGGACAGGCUUCUUUGCUGUGAUCAUCAGUGCACUGGCCAACAGGGUCUCCUUCUGGCCCGCUUUUUAGGUAGAAGGGAGGUAGAAGAGCAGAAAGCAGAGGAGAGUGAGGAGUGUGCAGAGAAUUAAGCAGCCAAGGAAGGGUUGACAUGUAAAAUAUUUGGAAGUGACCUGCAGCAAAGGGCAAGAGAAAAAAAGAUAAAGGGAAUCAGAGAGAGCUCCAAGAGGAGACUGAAGAUGAAAAGAUCAGCUCUUCUGAAGGCAGACAAGCAUUCUGGUCAUGUACAGCACCAUUUCUCAGGUGGGGUAGCUGGCGCCAGGGACAAAACUCUCAUUCCUGCUGCAAAGGUGGCAAAGGUUACAGCUACGUAGCAAAGGUGCAGGGAUGUCACUGGUUUCUAAGCCAAGGUUUUUUCUAACUGAAAUGGCAAUAUUACUUUCAAAAGC
ensembl:lncRNA